rnacentral:tRNA from 1 species
GGUCACUUCCUUAGCCUUCCAAGCUAAUGAUGCGGGUUCGAUUCCCGCUACCCGCU